rnacentral:rRNA from 2 species
AGACCCGAAACCCGGUGAUCUAGCCAUGGGCAGGUUGAAGGUUGGGUAACACUAACUGGAGGACCGAACCGACUAAUGUUGAAAAAUUAGCGGAUGACCUGUGGCUGGGGGUGAAAGGCCAAUCAAACCGGGAGAUAGCUGGUUCUCCCCGAAAGCUAUUUAGGUAGCGCCUCGUGAAUUCAUCUCCGGGGGUAGAGCACUGUUUCGGCUAGGGGGCCAUCCCGGCUUACCAACCCGAUGCAAACUGCGAAUACCGGAGAAUGUUAUCACGGGAGACACACGGCGGGUGCUAACGUCCGUCGUGAAGAGGGAAACAACCCAGACCGCCAGCUAAGGUCCCAAAGUCAUGGUUAAGUGGGAAACGAUGUGGGAAGGCCCAGACAGCCAGGAUGUUGGCUUAGAAGCAGCCAUCAUUUAAAGAAAGCGUAAUAGCUCACUGGUCGAGUCGGCCUGCGCGGAAGAUGUAACGGGGCUAAACCAUGCACCGAAGCUGCGGCAGCGAACGUAUCACUUAAAGCGAUUCAGCGGGUUACGAUUGACGGAGCGAAGCGACGUCAAAGCGUAUACAAAGUCGAGUCGGUUUAAGGAUACGUUCGUUGGGUAGGG